CAGCAGCCGCGGUAAUACGUAGGUGGCAAGCGUUGUCCGGAAUUAUUGGGCGUAAAGGGCUCGCAGGCGGUUUCUUAAGUCUGAUGUGAAAGCCCCCGGCUCAACCGGGGAGGGUCAUUGGAAACUGGGAAACUUGAGUGCAGAAGAGGAGAGUGGAAUUCCACGUGUAGCGGUGAAAUGCGUAGAGAUGAGGAGGAACACCAGUGGCGAAGGCGACUCUCUGGUCUGUAACUGACGCUGAGGAGCGAAAGCGUGGGGAGCGAACAGGAUUAGAUACCCCGGUAGUCCCUGUCUCUUAUAC
rnacentral:rRNA from 1 species